AGCAAGCACCGGCUAACUCCGUGCCAGCAGCCGCGGUAAUACGGAGGGUGCAAGCGUUAUUCGGAAUCACUGGGCGUAAAGGACGCGUAGGCGGGAAGCCAAGUCUGAUGUGAAAUCCUAUGGCUCAACCAUAGAACUGCAUUGGAAACUGGCAACCUAGAGUAUGGGAGGGGGAGAUGGAAUUAGUGGUGUAGGGGUAAAAUCCGUAGAUAUCACUAGGAAUACCUAAAGCGAAGGCGAUCUCCUGGAACAAUACUGACGCUAAGGCGUGAAAGCGUGGGGAGCAAACGGGAUUAGAUACCCCGGUAGUCCACGCCCUAAACGAUGAACACUAGUCGUCGGGAUGCUUGUCAUCUCGGUGAUGCACUUAACAGAUUAAGUGUUCCGCCUGGGGAGUACGGUCGCAAGAUUAAAACUCAAAGGAAUAGACGGGGACCCGCACAAGUGGUGGAGCAUGUGGUUUAAUUCGAAGAUACGCGAAGAACCUUACCUAGCCUUGACAUUGAUUGAAUACCCUAGAGAUAGAGUAGUGCCCUUCGGGGAACAUGAAAACAGGUGCUGCACGGCUGUCGUCAGCUCGUGUCGUGAGAUGUUGGGUUAAGUCCCGCAACGAGCGCAACCCUCGUCUUUAGUUGCCAGCAGGUUAAGCUGGGCACUCUAAAGAGACUGCCUUCGCAAGGAGGAGGAAGGUGAGGACGACGUCAAGUCAUCAUGGCCCUUAUGGCUAGGGCUACACACGUGCUACAAUGGGGCGUACAGAGUGUUGCGAUACCGCGAGGUGGAGCCAAUCACUUAAAGCGUCUCUCAGUUCGGAUUGGAGUCUGCAACUCGACUCCAUGAAGCUGGAAUC
rnacentral:rRNA from 1 species